rnacentral:rRNA from 1 species
UACGGAGGGUGCGAGCGUUGUCCGGAAUCACUGGGCGUAAAGAGCGUGUAGGCGGCUUGUUAAGUCUUGCGUGAAAUCUCGGGGCUCAACCCCGAGCGGUCGUGAGAAACUGGCAGGCUAGAGUGCGGGAGAGGAGAGUGGAAUUCCUGGUGUAGCGGUGAAAUGCGCAGAUAUCAGGAAGAACACCCGUGGCGAAGGCGGCUCUCUGGACCGAGACUGACGCUGAGGCGCGAAGGCGUGGGGAGCAAACAGG